CGGAACAGUAAUUCGAUGAAUACUUGUUACCUUCCAUUGAUAUCCAGCAAAGGAGGAAGCAUAAGAAUAUCAUAAUCUCAAACCACUUGUUACAAUGUAUUUUAUCAAAUGAUUUGUAAACAAUAUUGCUACAAUUGAACGAAAAGCAGAAAAUUCCAUUUCAAGUACAUGUAAAUGUGCUAAAGCUUUUUAAGAAAAUUGGCAACACAGCAUUUAAUGUGGCUACGGAAGGAGAAGAAGCAAUGCUUUUUAAAUUAAAACUUAAACAUGCCAAGAGUCGGUUAAAUUUAAAAGUUUUUAAGAAAACAAGAUGCCGCAAUUUCAUUAAAGAUAAUAAUUUCCAAAAGCCAGGCUACACGAUGCGAGAUGCCAAAAAGAUUUCGCUAAAAAGGGGGGGUUAUGCGAAAUCUAUACGUCAAAAACGUUUCAUGCGAAAUCUUUUUGACACUUCGCUCCAUGCGAAAUCUUUUUGACACUUCGCCGAGAUCAUCAAAAUUGAUAUUGAAAAAAAAGAAGAAGGAAUAAACCAAAACAAAACAAACCGCGACAAAGCCGGCAAAGCUACGAAUAAAUUUGAACAUGGACAAUGCAAAGCCGCAACGUGCGUACGCGCAGAAGAAUACGGAGCUCUGCCUGCGUUUGGCAAAUGCCGUGGAACGGCAGCCGAUAAUAUACACAAAAAGUUCGCGAAAUUACAAAAAUCGCAACUUGCAGAACGACGCUUGGUCUUGCGUCGCAACGGAGGUUGGAACCACAAUCGUUGAAGCUAAGCGCCUAUGGACCAACAUGCUAUGUAGCUUUCGAUCAUAUCGGUCGAAAGUGCGGCAGAGCAUGCAUGCUGGAACAGUUUUCCGUCCGAGGUGGUUCGCCUACGAGGCGAUGAUGUUCAUGGCGAAUGCCAUGGAGGACAACGACCAUGCCGAUACGCUUGACGAUCAUGAUGAGGGCCUCGCUCAGCACUCUUUCGUCUCGACCGCGCCAUCCACCGUCCAAUCCUUUACCCAUCCGAUAUCUACAACACCACCAAACCCGAUUUCCAUAAUUGACCAUUCCUACAGUUCUAGAACCUCUGCCCAACCUUCUUCGUCCCGUGCCGGCCCUUCCGGCCUCCAAACUAUACAGCCUUCUUCUCCUCGUCCCGGCCCUUCAAACCUUCGGUGCACACAGCCCUCGUCUCAUCGUCCCAGUCCUGCCGUUCUUCCUAACACCCCACCCUUUUCUUCUCCUACCUCUCAUUUACACACCGAUUCGUUGCUCCCUUCCCAAGGUUCCCUCGUCGCGACCAAUGCUCCACAACGGCGUCGUCGUCGAAGAAACCAUGGCGGGGGCAGUGAGUUGAGCGAGGCUCUCAAGCAGCUGAUGGAGGCCACAAGGGAGAAUGCACACUCCCGGGAGAACACGUUUGGCCGCUGGGUCGCUGAAGUUCCCCACCGUUUUUGACCCGAAGAACAAGAUUUUGUAACGUCGAGGAUUCAGCGAUCCAUGCUUGAUGCAGAAGAUUUAGUUUUGGCCAAACGUGCUAACCGGGAGUAGUUUUUUUCUUUAGCAUAUUAUAGUGUAAGUUUAGGUUUUUUAGUUAGUUAGUUAGUUAGUUAGUAAGUUUACAUUAGCGUAAUUAGUUUAGUUAGUAUUAGUUUGUUUGUAAAUUUAGUUAGAUUUUUUGGUAGGAUAGUUGUAACUUUUGUUAAAUAGAUUACGGUUUACUAUACCUAACAAAAUUAUUGUUGUACAUUUGUUGGUGUACAAUUGAUCUACAAUCAAAUUCGAAAGGAACGUAUUCCUCUAAUACGGGAGUUCCUCUAUUCUUGUGUUUGCUCUUUUCUCUCUUGAUUUUGCUUUGCUUCUCUACAUGUCCGUAGACUCUUCGCGUUGUGUGGUGGAAUGUUUGUGUGUAACAACAGUACUUUCGCUGCAAGGUUGGAGGAUCCACCUGACUUGCUCAGAGCAGGAAUGAAGUACACGUAAUAUAAAUUGGAGCGUGGUACGCUUGCGCGUAGCAGAUCAUGGUGUAGUUAAGAAGAAAAAAAGAAGCAGUGCUACAGUCGUACUAGACGCUGGAAUAGCUUGUAUUGGUUGAAAUUUUCUUAUUUUUCAGAUUCAAAAAUCUGUUUGCUCUACAAAUUCGAUGAGUGCAUGUAAUCAGUUCUGCAGCGCCAUGGUGAACGUUGGGAGGUGUUGGCACGGAAGACGGAGCGGGAAAAGGUUCACGACAACUAUGCGGUGAGGAGGAUAUCAACGGAUUGUGCAUUUACAGUUAGCGGGUGAGCCCACGCUGUACCUCGUAGGAGAACCUGGCGAUGGAUAUCGGAGAAUGCAUAUCGUAUUCCGGGAUCGUGCUUGGCCUUGAACACUGACUCUGCUCGAUCACGGGUUCCAAAUUGGUCAUUACGUUACCGGCGGCUUGCCAGCAAUCAGCAUUGGGUGUUCUUUUUCCGUUCAGUUCUUCCUACCGUCCUGCUGUGUAUAAAGUGCCUUCCAUUAACAUCUCCCGACAACAAGUUGGAAUUGCUUCUAGCACGGAUUAUGAUGGUGCUGUUGCUGAAGAGAAAUGUUGUGUUGCCUGGUUGCACUGGACAGGAUGGUUCACACAGUGUAGUCGAUCUCUUGUUGGUCUCGAUUGUUCCCUUCGAGCCGGAGGCCCAUCCUGGCCGCUCAGUGCGAUAGUGUUAGGUGCUAGAAAUACAAGAUGUAAAUAUAAAAUGGUUACUUUACAUGUUAAUACAGAAGAGGGAAUUAUAUAGUUUAUAGAAUUACAGUUUUUACUUACUAAUAAAAACAUGAACGAGCGAAAUGCAUCACGUACAUAUUGCGCUGCUGAGCCAGGCAAAGAAA